rnacentral:lncRNA from 1 species
CCGGACGGCAGCCCUCAGCCUCCCUCCUGCCCCUGGAUCCGACCCUCUUCCCCUCGUCUGGUCGCACCUGCUCAUCCUCAGGUCAGGGAGCUUAAGGGAACUCUUCUCCGCAGGGAGACCGGCUUGACCCCUGGACCCUCCCCAGUCCGUGCCCAGGGCCCAGGGCCUGCCACUCGGCAGAGACGGUUGAACGGGGUCAGCCUGAGGGGCAUGGGACGUGCCGCGUCUGUGCCAAGCUGGACCAGGGAUGUGGUGAGGCCAUCAGACCGCGUCGCAUCCAAGACAGCAGAGGCAGCUGGGGCGUCUAGCAGGAGAAACAUAACUCCGAGCAUCAGCACAACCGUCUUCAGAGGGCUGGACUCCCUCGUGUAGGAACAAAGAGAACCAGGCAACCGCUGUGUUACGUUUACGCUAAACCAUCGGGAGCCACAGGGUCACGGGGGCCCCCCGCCUGUGGGCACCGGUCCCUGCGACGGAAACCAGGCCAGAGGAUGGAGUCGCUCCCACGUCCAGGCUGAAGGUGCAGCGGCCUCUCAGCCGCCACCGCCGCUGCUCCGGCAGGUGAAUGACCGCCGAGGACCCAAGGCGGAAGAAAGUCGAUCCAGGAACGCCUCAAAGCGGUAUUCGAUCGCGGUGACGAAGCAAGACUAUGGCCCUGCAAGGUGUCCCAUGUCAGGACUCCCAAGAAUGGCCCCACCACCUCCGAGGCCGGGGCGUCCGGGGAACCCGAGCGCGGGGCCCGUGGGAUCCGUGGGCGCGGCGACGACGGGCCCCACGCGGACGUAUGUGCACAUACAGUCCUGUUUGCCAAACUCGUGGUAAUUUCUGUAAUUAUACACAUAAUGUAUUUUAACCAAAUGCACAAAGAAGAUUUUCCUAAUGCCACUUAGGGUCUAGAUUUAACUUAAACCACUACUUAGACGAUCGUUCUUAAUAGGCUACGAAAAGGGGAUUUUAUGACAACACUAUCAGUAGCAUUUUGCUGAUAAUUAGAAUAACAAUAAUAAUACCGAGAUAUUUUUUCAGUAAUAAUGGUGUUAUUAAUGAGAUUUUUAUGAAAGACAGACUUCUUUGGUAUAAUUAUGAAAAUUGAUCUUUUGCAUUUUACUUAUUCACUGAAAUCAGAUAAGUGGCUUAACUACAUGUAUUAUUUCUAAUAAAUAUUCAAAAGAAUGCA